AAAAAAAUGCUCUCAAGAAGAUCUUCUUCAAGAACAAUUCAUCAACAGGAUGCAUUUGUAAUCCAUGCUUAACAUGUACACUCCCACUCCGAAGACACAAAGAUCUUUUUACACUUUAAAUUAUAUUUUACAUAAAUAUCCUUCCUCCUAUUCUUCGCAAGUGGAAACUAUGAUGUGAAUUACAUUGCAUUCUUCUGUUCAUGAAACUAA